rnacentral:tRNA from 1 species
CCUGCCCCUGGGCCGGGUCGCAGAUGGCGCCGGUUUCGCAAGCCAGCGCAUAGAGGGCCCUCGCGCCAGCGACGUCGGUGCCGAGGCCGCCGAACAGGG